rnacentral:rRNA from 1 species
CCUGGGGAGUUAUCACCGCAAGUGUUAACUCAAAGGAAUUGACGGGGGGCUCGCACAAACGGUGGAGCAUGUGGUUUAACUCGAUGAUAAGCGAAGAACCCUACCUGGGCCUAAACUUGUAGUGACCGUCUGUGAAAGCAGAUUUCUCUUCGGAGCACUAUGAGAGGUGCUGGCAUGGCUGUCGUCAGCUCGUGUCGUGAGAUGUUGGGUUAAGUCCCGCAACGAGCGCAACCCUUAUCCUAUGUUGCUACGAUCUUUUGAUCAGGACUCUUAGGAGACUGCCGAGGUUAACUCGGAGGAAGGCGAGGAUGACGUCAAGUCCUCAUGGCCCUUAUGUCCAGGGCUACACACGUGCUACAAUGGGAAGUAUAAAGAGCAGCGAAGUCGCGAGGCGGAGCGAAUCUCAAAAAACUUCUCUCAGUUCAGAUCGCAGUCUGCAACUCGACUGCGUGAAGCUGGAAUCGCUAGUAAUCGCCGAUCAGAAUGCCGCGGUGAAUACGUUCUCGAGCCUUGUACACACCGCCCGUCACACCACCCGAG